ACCUACGGGAGGCAGCAGUGAGGAAUAUUGGUCAAUGGGCGGGAGCCUGAACCAGCCAAGUCGCGUGAGGGAAGACGGUCCUAUGGAUUGUAAACCUCUCUUGUCGGGGAGCAAAGAGGCCACGUGUGGUCAAAAGCGAGAGUACCCGAAGAAAAAGCAUCGGCUAACUCCGUGCCAGCAGCCGCGGUAAUACGGAGGAUGCGAGCGUUAUCCGGAUUUAUUGGGUUUAAAGGGAGCGUAGACGGUUAUGUAAGUCUGGAGUGAAAGCCCGGGGCCCAACCCCGGGACUGCUUUGGAAACUGUGU
rnacentral:rRNA from 1 species